rnacentral:rRNA from 1 species
UACAGAGGGUGCGAGCGUUAAUCGGAAUUACUGGGCGUAAAGCGCGCGUAGGCGGCUUUUCAAGUCGAUUGUGAAAUCCCCGGGCUUAACCUGGGAACUGCAGUCGAGACUGUCUAGCUAGAGUAUGGGAGAGGGAAGUGGAAUUUCAGGUGUAGCGGUGAAAUGCGUAGAUAUCUGAAGGAACAUCAGUGGCGAAAGCGACUUCCUGGACCGAUACUGACGCUCAUGUGCGAAAGCGUGGGGAGCAAACAGG